rnacentral:lncRNA from 1 species
AUGUCCCCAGUUCCACGUUGCUUUGCUCACUGUCCCUUCAGGAGGAGCAGUGCCCAGGCAGGGGAGGGCAGGGAGGAAGGACAACUCCCAAUGUCCUUCCCCUCCUCCCAACUCUGCCUCAGGCCUGACGUCCACCAAGAAAACUCAGGACACAGGCUCAGGGACCUUUGGGGGAAAAGGCUCCAGAAGCUGACAGAUUCCAGCUGGGCUGGAGACAAACACACCCCAUCCUGCCCUCCAAUGGCAGGUACCACUCAGGUGUUACCAGCUCUCAUCCCCUCCCUCAGAGACAUGGCUUCAGGGGCCAAGCAAGCCUUAUCCAUCACAGACUCUGGUGUCUUGUCACUCUCAGAGACCCCUGUUCUCCCAUCUCCAAAUGCUCCACCCUUCAUUGGACACAUUGGAGGGCAUUCAGGUAUUUUUCUGGUGGCCCAUGGGGCUCAACUCCACUUUCUGCAUUUCAGAGAACUUAGGGAACAUAGAGCAGAGGCCUCUAACCAUCACCUGGCCUGGCAUCAGGGAAAUGUCUUGGCUUAUUUGCAAAGGGAACAUAGAGCAGAGGCCUCUAACCAUCACCUGGCCUGGCAUCAUGGGAAUGUCUUGGCUUAUUUGCAAAGGGAACCCCACCCUAUCUCUCUGCCUUCCAGGGCUGCCCCAGCCCCUUGGGGGCUAGGAGAGGAUUUGGCCUGGUACUUGCUCCCUCUCUAGACCACUCCUGUCUUCUCAAGCACGAGAGAGGCAGAGCAAGUGCUUAGAGAACAUAACCCAGUACAGUCCCGGUCACUUGUGACAGGCUCGGGCCUGGACCAAGGGGGCAGCCUGACCUCACCUCCAAGUAUGAAGGCUGGAACACAAAUCCAUGUCCUUUCAGCUAAAAUGAGUAGGAGGCAAGCUUACCACUGUUUCUAGACACACGCUCCUGCAACAAAAAGGCAGGGAUGGCUCUAGAGAGAGGAGGAGGAAAGAAGAGGGAACUUCCCAGCGAAGAAACACCAGCCUUAGAAAAUCUGCGAAAGGCUAGGCCCCACGUGCAUCCCCAGCUCCUUGGGGAGGAGCAAAGGGUCUUAAUGGGCAGGUAUUCUCUGUAGAAACCCCAGCGUCUGGGGUCCAGACAGAAAGUGGCACAAAGGGCAGGGAAGCUGGCACGUGGCCAGGUGGGGCCAGAAGGAGACGAGGUCCAGAGCUAAGGCCCCUGCCGGGCCUCCGGCCUGCAACCUGGGCCCACAUAACUUUCUGACAUGCCAUACCUACUGGCUGCCAUGUUCACACCCCAAAACCUGAGAUUUGCCCUUAAAAUGGAGAUUGGGGAUGUGGGAAUCAGUGUGACUGGCCAGCCUGGCUCAAGUGGUCAUGAAGGGCAGCCGAAGUCCCUCAGGGCCCCCGGAGUUGCCUUUGAGGCAGAAAUACAGAGCAUCUUUGAGGACUCCUGCUCUGCCUGUGGGAAGGUGGGAAAAAUGCUGAAAAUACAGUAAAAGCAAGGGCCAGGACCCAAAGGGGUCUCACUCCCUGUUUCUCUGGACUCUCUGUGGGGUGCCUGUGUGCAGGAUUUCUGCAGAAGAUAGUCCAU